UGUGCACGUUUCAGUGAUGGCUGGAAGGCUCCCAGGGACACUGAUAAGUCUGUCCCUUCUCUUCCUCCCUCCAGCUGCCUUUGGGAGGGCACAGGAAAGCACAUGAGAUCCCCAUGAAUGCAGCAGUGGGGCAAGCAGAAAGCCAGCUCCAGGAAAGUGAGAAAGCUAUAUUUACUCUGGUUCAAGUGCUUUGACUCUCAGCAGAUCAAGUGCAGCAUAAAUCCCCAAGCCUCCCAAAGAGAGCUUGUGGACCACUCUGAACUCAUCAACCCCUCUGCAACGUUAGUCCUGGACUGCCCCUCACAUCCCAGGCCUGGACACACCACUCCAUGCAAGCUGGGAAAACAGCUGGGAGCCUCCAAGCCUUUGCUCAUCUCUCAGAUAAUGCUUUCAUUUCAGUGAGGGAAGCUGCAGACACAAGAGACUGACAGCAGACUGGAGA